GGACCCGCACAAGCAGUGGAGCAUGUGGUUUAAUUCGAAGAUACGCGCAGAACCUUACCAACACUUGACAUGUUCGUCGCGAGACCAAGAGAUUGGUUUCUUCAUUUAGUUGGACGAAACACAGGUGCUGCAUGGCUGUCGUCAGCUCGUGUCGUGAGAUGUUGGGUUAAGUCCCGCAACGAGCGCAACCCCGUACUUUUAGUUGCCACCAUUUAGUUGGGCACUUUAAAAGAACUGCCAGUGAUAAGCUGGAGGAAGGUGGGGAUGACGUCAAGUCCUCAUGGCCCUUACGUGUUGGGCUACACACGUGCUACAAUGGCACUUACAAUGGGAAGCAAAGAGGCGACUCCUAG
rnacentral:rRNA from 1 species